UACGGGGGAGGCAAGCGUUGUUCGGAUUUACUGGGCGUAAAGGGCGCGUAGGCGGCCACCGCAAGUCGACUGUGAAAUCUCCGGGCUUAACCCGGAAAGGUCAGCCGAUACUGCGGGGCUAGAGUGCAGAAGGGGCAACUGGAAUUCUCGGUGUAGCGGUGAAAUGCGUAGAUAUCGAGAGGAACACCUGCGGCGAAGGCGGGUUGCUGGGCUGACACUGACGCUGAGGCGCGAAAGCUAGGGAGCGAACGGG
rnacentral:rRNA from 1 species